rnacentral:rRNA from 1 species
AACGAACGCUGGCGGCAUGCCUAACACAUGCAAGUCGAACGGGAUCCUAGCUUGCUAGGUGAGAGUGGCGGACGGGUGAGUAACACGUGGGAAUCUGCCUUUUGGUUCGGGAUAACCGCGGGAAACUGCGGCUAAUACCGAAUGCCCUCGAGAGAGGAAAGAUUUAUCGCCAGAAGAGGAGCCCGCGUCCGAUUAGGUAGUUGGUGGGGUAAAGGCCUACCAAGCCGACGAUCGGUAGCUGGUCUGAGAGGAUGAUCAGCCACACUGGGACUGAGAUACGGCCCAGACUCCUACGGGAGGCAGCAGUGGGGAAUAUUGGACAAUGGGGGCAACCCUGAUCCAGCAAUGCCGCGUGAGUGAUGAAGGCCUUAGGGUUGUAAAGCUCUUUUGCCCAGGGAAGAUGAUGACUGUACCUGGAGAAUAAGCCCCGGCUAACUUCGUGCCAGCAGCCGCGGUAAU